rnacentral:rRNA from 1 species
GACGAACGCUGGCGGCGUGCCUAAUACAUGCAAGUCGAGCGGACUGAUUAAGAGCUUGCUCUUAUGACGUUAGCGGCGGACGGGUGAGUAACACGUGGGCAACCUGCCCUGUAGAUCGGGAUAACACCGAGAAAUCGGUGCUAAUACCGGGUAAUAUCUGAGAUCACAUGAUCUUAGGUUAAAAGAUGGCUCCGGCUAUCACUACAGGAUGGGCCCGCGGCGCAUUAGCUAGUUGGUAAGGUAAUGGCUUACCAAGGCGACGAUGCGUAGCCGACCUGAGAGGGUGAUCGGCCACACUGGGACUGAGACACGGCCCAGACUCCUACGGGAGGCAGCAGUAGGGAAUCUCCCGCAAUGGACGAAAGUCUGACGGAGCAACGCCGCGUGAGUGAUGAAGGGUUUCGGCUCGUAAAGCUCUGUUGUUAGGGAAGAAACAGUACCGAACGAACUAGGUCGGUACCUUGACGGUACCUAACCAGAAAGCCACGGCUAACUACGUG